UAAAAUGUCCAUACCACGUUGAAUACACCGGUUCUCAUCCGAUCACCGAAGUUAAGCACCGUCGAGAGCAGUCAGCACUUAGAUGGGUGACCGCAUGGGAACACCGCGUGACACUGGC
rnacentral:rRNA from 1 species